GCCCGCAGGAGGAGGAAAAUGGCGGCCGCGGGGGGGUCCACGCUCCGGGCCCCGAGACCCGCCUCGGACCCGCCGGGUUGCUGCUGUGGAGAUGGGGCCCUCAGUGCCAUGAGUUAGUGGUGGACGUGGCAGCGCUGGGGUAAUUGUUGGACUUGAUGAUCUUAAAGGUCUUUUCCAGCCUGACUCCAUUUCCUCAAAAAAAAGCUGUGGAAUUUCCUUGCUGCACCCAACCUCCCAGGCUACUCUAGCAGCAGCUUCUCAUCGUUAUUUCUCCACUUAAAUCAGCCAACUCAAGAGAUCAAAGAACAGCAGUUUCACCGCUUUGCAAAGUUACGCUCUCCUCCUGCUUGACUGUCGCGGAUUCCACCACCAGGAGGCCCUCAUUAAAGUGCUUGUAGCUAGGCGAAGAAAACACAAGGACGGAGAAACGAGAUGGAGAAACCCAUUCCCAUAGAAGUAACCUGAAACGAAUACUUAUCCUAUAAAUAGAGAUUUAUUUUUUUCGAGCGUUGUGCAGGCAUCAGUUCUUGCAGGAAUCCUAAUAUCCAAACCAUCGAUUGUACUUUAACUUUUUAGGAUAAGGGGGUGUCACAGGUGGUAUUCCUGCAUUGUAUCACUAAGUUAUAGCCAGGGAAGUUCCUGCCUUUGUCUUCUGGAUAGUAAAGCUUUUAAUAAUGUAAUGAAAAUAAUAAAAUAGGAUAAAGCAC